GUUCAUCACAAUAAGCCUAAGAAUACAUAGAUAUAUGAGAUAGGGUGACCAAGCGAACGGCUAAGAAUUCGAAUGAGGUGAUGACUGCUUAGAGCUAUUUUUUUCUGACCUUAAUGAUGGACAAGAUGAAAUUGCAUGGUUAAAUUAUCACUAAUUGAAUUGAUAUGUGCUCUAUUCUGUGCCAAUAAUAUUCAA